ACGGCGAGUGAACCGGGAAAAGCUCAAAUUUGUAAUCUGGCUGUCUUCGAUAGUCCGAGUUGUAAUCUAUAGACGUGUUUUCCGUGCUGGACCGUAUCUAAGUCCCUUGGAACAGGGUAUCAAAGAGGGUGACAAUCCCGUGCUUGAUACGACCACCAGUGCUCUGUGAUACACGCUCUACGAGUCGAGUUGUUUGGGAAUGCAGCUCAAAAUGGGUGGUAAAUUCCAUCUAAAGCUAAAUAUUGGCGAGAGACCGAUAGCGAACAAGUACCGUGAGGGAAAGAUGAAAAGCACUUUGGAAAGAGAGUUAAACAGUACGUGAAAUUGUUGAAAGGGAAACGAUUGAAGUCAGUCGUGUUCCUUGGAUUCAGCUAGUUCUUCUAGUCUACUUCCAUGGAACGGGUCAACAUCAGUUUUGUCCGGUGGAUAAAGGUAGUAGGAAUGUGACUCCUCUCGGGGAGUGUUAUAGCCUAUUAUUGCAUACACUGGGUGAGACUGAGGACUGCAGCUCGCCUUUUGGCCGGUCUUCGGACACGUUCGAGCU
rnacentral:rRNA from 1 species